GUUAUGUUCUUGAAACCCAAAGGAUUUGGCGGUAUUUUAGUCUUUUCAGAGGAAUCUGUUCCAUUAUCGAUAAUCCACGAAGUGAUUAACUUGAUUUUGUUAAUUCAGUUUGUAUACCUCCGUCAUAAGGAUAUCUUUUUAGAGUGAAUUUUCUUUUCAUAUUAAAUAUAAUAUGUCAGGUCAAGGUGCAACUAAUAAUCAAGUGGAAAUGGAUUACAAUAAACUUAUUUAUAUGGAUUAAAUUAUUUAAAUAUUUAUGAAGGUGGAUUUGAUAGUAAUUUUAUUAGCUUAUCAUUAUGAUUUUAGCUCUAAAAUAUGCACACAUCGCCC
rnacentral:rRNA from 1 species